UACGAAGAGAGCUAGCGUUGUUCGGAAUCACUGGGCGUAAAGCGCACGUAGGCGGAUGUGUCAGUCAGGGGUGAAAUCCCGGAGCUCAACUUCGGAACUGCCCUUGAUACAGCACGUCUUGAGUCCGGAAGAGGUGGGUGGAAUUCCUAGUGUAGAGGUGAAAUUCGUAGAUAUUAGGAAGAACACCGGUGGCGAAGGCGGCCCACUGGUCCGGUACUGACGCUGAGGUGCGAAAGCGUGGGGAGCAAACAGG
rnacentral:rRNA from 1 species